UCAGUGUAAUAUGUAUGCCUCACACACA
rnacentral:piRNA from 1 species